rnacentral:tRNA from 1 species
UCCCUGGUGGUCCAGUGGUGAAGACUCCGUGUUCCCAAUACAGUGGGCUCGGGUUUGAUCCUUGGCCAGGGAA